rnacentral:rRNA from 1 species
GACGAACGCUGGCGGCGUGCUUAACACAUGCAAGUCGAACGGAAAGGCCCUGCUUUUGUGGGGUGCUCGAGUGGCGAACGGGUGAGUAACACGUGAGUAACCUGCCCUUGACUUUGGGAUAACUUCAGGAAACUGGGGCUAAUACCGGAGAGGAGCUCCUGCUGCAUGGUGGGGGUUGGAAAGUUUCGGCGGUUGGGGAUGGACUCGCGGCUUAUCAGCUGGUUGGUGGGGUAGUGGCUUACCAAGGCUUUGACGGGUAGCCGGCCUGAGAGGGUGACCGGCCACAUUGGGCCUGGGAUACGGCCCAGACUCAUACGGGAGGAAGGAGUGGGGACUAUUGCACACUGGGCGGAAGCCUGAUGCAGCAACGCCGGGUGCGGGAUGACGGCCUUCGGGUUGUAAAACGCUUUCGCCUGUGACGAAGCGUGAGUGACGGUACUGGGUAAAGAAGCACCGGCUACCUACGG